UUAAAAUUUGAUAUGGAAUUUCUCGGCCUCAAACAACUGUAAAGAAAUUUACAAACAAAAUUUCAUAUUAAUUAAACUCGCAUUAUCUUCCUUAAUCAAAAUCUAAAUAAUUAAAAGAUAAAAUAAGACUGGGAAAGUGGAAGUUUGUCUACAGGCUCACAUUCCAUAACUUUACCAUCUGCAGUAACUGUGUAAGCUUCUGGAUCAACAGUCAUUUUUGGCAUAUAUGAAUUGUAAACCAUGUCUUUCUUCCCAAUGUUUCUCGUAGAUUUUACGGCUUCAACUCUCUUAUGAAGUCCAUAGCUUUCAAUAACACCGGAUGUUAUAGAGGCCUUGGAAACAAAUGCAAUGCUCCUCUCGGGGUCAUGUGCACCAAACAUUUGCCAGGACAUGAGGGGAGAAACCGUUGGAAUCGAUCCAUUUGGAUCACCCAUAGAGGCCAAUGCAAUCAUUCCUCCUUUCAGCACCAUACUGGGUCUUGCCCCAAAGUCAGCAAAGUCCCAUAAGACAAGGUCAGCAAACUUGCCUAUCUCCACAGAACCAACAAUAUGAGAAAUUCCAUGAGUAAUUGCAGGGUUUAUAGUGUAUUUGGAUACAUAACGUUUCACACGGAAAUUAUCAACACCUGAACCCUCGUCCUCAGGAAGUGCUCCUCGUUGUAGCUUAUUUUUAUGGGCGGUUUUCCAAGUUCUUGAAAUUACUUCACCACAACGACCCAUGGCUUGAGAGUCUGAACUAAUCAUACUAAUAGCUCCCAAAUCCUGUAAAAUAUCUUCAGCAGCAAUUGUUUCAGCACGAAUACGGGAUUCUGCAAAUGCAACGUCUUCAGGAACAUUCCUAGAAAGAUGAUGGCAUACCAUUAACAUGUCCAGUUCCUCAUCAAGCGUAUUUGUAGUAAAUGGUCGUGUGGGAUUGGUGCUAGAGGGAAGAAUAUUUGGAUUUUGGACUAAAGAAAUAAUAUCGGGGGCAUGCCCACCACCGGCUCCUUCAACGUGAUACGUGUGAAUGGUCCUAUUUUUAAAAGCUUUAAAUGUACCUUCUACAAAAGAGGAUUCAUUGAGGGUGUCGGUAUGAAUUAGGCACUGAACGUCAUACUCAUCACAAACAGACAAACAACUGUCAAUUGCUGCGGGAGUAGAUCCCCAAUCUUCGUGAAGCUUAAGUCCACUGCAGCCUGCUUCUAUUUGCUCCUUCAAAGAACUUGAACCGCUAUCAUUUCCUUUUCCGGUGAGACCAAUGUUCAUGGGAUAAGAAUCAGUAGAACGAAGCAUGGAACGGAUUAAGUCUUUAUUUGGGGUGCAGGUAGUAGCAUUAGUUCCCGUACUAGGGCCAGUUCCUCCACCAUACAUAGUAGUUAUACCGGAAGCCAAUGCCUCUUCAAUUUGUUGAGGACAGAUGAAAUGAACGUGGCUGUCCAUACCACCAUAAGUAACAAUUUUAUUCUCAGCUGAUAUAACAUCUGUAGAAGAUCCAAUGACCAUGUUUUCUCCAAUGUUAUCCAUUGUAUCCGGGUUUCCUGCUUUACCUAUACCUACGAUAUAUCCGUUUUUGAUGCCAAUGUCAGCCUUGUAGAUACCGGUAUGAUCAAUGAUUACAGCAUUUGUAAUUACAGUGUCCAAGCAUUCGUCCAUUGAUUUUGAGCUAGACUGUCCCGUACCAUCACGUAUAACCUUUCCGCCGCCGAAAACAGAUUCAUUUCCAUAUUCAGUAAAGUCCUUUUCCACGCGCACAAUCAAAUUUGUAUCUCCCAGACGAAUUUUAUCAUUCGUUGUUGGACCAUACAUUACAGCGUAUAAUUUACGAGGAACAACAAAAGGGCGUGCAGAUUGUAAUGGCAUAUUCAACGGAGAUUCAGGUUGAUGCAUGAAUCCCUGUUUCAUCAAAUUGUCAACAAUUUCCCGAGUCCUAGAAUCAUCGAAGACACCCUUCGAAAGUGAAUUACCUCCUUGAAUUAGUUUUGCACCACCGAUAGGGAUUAAAUUGACAAUUUUCAUUACGCCAGGUUCAAAUCGAAUAGCAGUACCUGACGGAAUGUCCAAGCGCUUUCCAUAAGCCUUUGAGCGAUCGAAGCAUAGUUUUUCAUUAGUUUCAAUAAAAUGAUAGUGUGAUCCAACUUGAAUUGGCCUGUCACCCAUGUUUCGUACCUCGAUGGGAGUACGAGGUAAAUUAGGCAAUAGUUCAAUCUCGCCCUCCAAGACUUCAACAAAACCAGGGCUAUUUUCCGGAGCAUAUAACUUUUCCUCUUCCAGAGGGAACAGUUCUUGGCUUGGCGUGGGCAGGAAGCUUCCAUAUAAAGCAUGUUCGAGAUUACCAUCUGUAGUGCAAAUGGGAUCAUGAAUGGUAAUUAGAUAGGUUCCAUCAGGGAAAGUAGCUUCAAUCAUAAUUUCAUGUAACAAAUGAACGACAUUGGGCUGAACAUGGCGUUUACCCAGCAUAUCUUUACCAAGACUCAUCAAAUCUGCUACGGAAUGAUUACCGUCGCGAACAUAUUCUUGAAUUUGAGAUGCAAUAAGUGAAGUAGCCUCUAACUUGUUAAGCUUUACCCCUCUACACAGCCUUUUUUGGGCUAAAGAUCCCAGCUGGUGAAGCGUUAAUUUGUGUAGCUCUCUGGGUUGCAUAGUUGGAACAACGCUAGAGUGAUAUCUCCGAUACGCUUCCUUUCACUUUAUCGAUAUAAUUUUACACUUUCCGACUAAGGAUUUGUAAAUUAGUUCGUGUUGAGACGUUUAUCGGUAAGUUGCUGAAGGAUGCAUUUAAUCUAACCACCAUAUAUCUUAUCUUAGUCUAACAGGCAGGGUGCGCCGAUUGUACGCAACUAACAAGAAGAAACUAAGGUAAUGUAACGAAAAGCUAAGCAUGAAGUUGAAUUGGUGUCAAAAAAAGCAUAACUAUGAAGUUUACAAAAGUUGGCACGUAGCAGUUCGCUUGAGCACUUAUUCAAGUAAAAGGAAAGGGAAAUAAGUAUUGUUUAUUUUUUGUGCACGAACUGAUGUCGACCAUUUCUCGAUAAUUAGUAUACUUAUUAUUCCAGUCUAUAUUUGAGUAUAGUAUGUUGUGUUUACACGCAGCAAAUUAUAUCAUCGCAUGAAAAUUAUAUGACCAAAACCCAUUUUUAAAAUAUUAAUUAGAUCUAUUAAAAAAAUCAUUAUCUAC